GAAGAUGUAAAAUGUCAAACUGCAGCASCAGCCCCUGCCCUGCCUGUCCCUCUGCACUUUGGAUGAUUUACAUGUCAUAUUCUGCCUCAUUAAUGGGAACGAAUAUCCAAAAAUACCAUCAGAACCCCUUUAUCUGCCUUGUGGUGAUGCACAGCUCAGCUGCGUGAAGCUCUGUUGGCAGGAGGACWCUGUGAGGAGCAGUGAUGACUGGCCCUUAUUUCACCGCCUUUGAAGUUUAACUCCACCCUACAAAGCACCUUAUUCCUGAAUUAUACCUGUAAUUCUCUCUCCAAAAUGCUUGCACAAGACUGAGGUUUGUUGCCAUCGACUCAAAACAACACCAAGAUGGUGUGGAAGUGUUGGAAGUGUGGAAGAGCAACACCUGCCUUGCAAAGGAAGUAAAAUCAUCUCAAGCUGAUUAUCUUCAGCAGUGUCUCAAAACAAAGUUAUGUUCUCAGUURGGGCUUGCCUGAUGCUGCCAGAGGAAUCCAAACCAAAAUAUGCUGGAUUGAGAAACCAAGUUCCCAUUCUUCUCUACAGAGUGAGAUUUUGAAUAAGCGACAAACUCCAUCCUUUUUGGGUAAGAGCCAUGUGUUAUUCUAAUCAURGUGAUGAGGGCUGGGAAUGACAGGACAAGGGGGAAUGGCUUCCCAYUGACAGAGGGCAGGAUURGGUGGGAUAUUGGGAAGAAAUUGUUCCCUUUGAGGGUGGGGAGGUCCUGGCGCAGGGUCCCCAGAGCUGCUAUGGCUGUUCCAUCCCUGGAAGUGUCCAAGGCCAGGUUGGACAGGGCUUGGAGCAACCUGGAACAGUGG